rnacentral:piRNA from 1 species
UUCUUCAUAGGAAAGAUAGAGACACUCUGU